AGCCCAACUCUAGCCCAACCAUAGCCCCAACAGCAAGCAACCAAAACUCACUUACCACUAGAACUAAAGCAUUCCUUCAACUUAGUAUAGGCGAUAGAAAAGACACUUGGCGCGAUAGAAACCUAUGUACCGCAAGGGAAAGAUGAAAUAGCAAUGAAAGACUAAAGCAACAAACAGCAAAGAUAAACCCUUAUACCUCUUGCAUCAUGGUUUAGCAAGAAACAACCAAGCAAAACGAACUAAAGCUUGUCACCCCGAAACCCAAGCGAGCUACUCACAAGCAGCUACAUUUGAGCGAACCCGUCUCUGUUGCAAAAGAGUGGGAUGACUUGUUAGUAGAGGUGAAAAGCCAACCGAGCUGGGUGAUAGCUGGUUGCCUGUGAAACGAAUCUAAGUUCCUCCUCGAUUUUUCCAAACAGACAUCACGACCUAAACUGCCCUGAAAAGCAAAAUCAAGAGUAAUUUAAGGAGGUACAGCUCCUUUAAAAAGAAUACAAUCUCCUCUAGCGGAUACAUCUUCCACCCAAGAACCGUAGGCCUUAAGCAGCCACCAACGAAGAGUGCGUAAAGCUCACCUUAAAAAAAUUUAAAAGCAAUACGACUCCCUUUCCCCUAACAGGCCAACCUAUGACAAUAGGAGAAUUAAUGCUAAAAUAAGUAACUAGGGACCCCCCCCCCUCUUUUAAGCGCAAGCUUACAUUAUCACAUUAUUAACAGACUACAGCUAAUGUCGAAAACUAACAAGACUAAGCAUUAAACACCCUGUUAACCCAACCCAGGGGCGCCCUAUUAGAAAGAUUAAAACCUAUAAAAGGAACUAGGCAAACCCAAGGCCCGACUGUUUACCAAAAACAUAGCCUUCAGCCUAACAAGUAUUGAAGGUGAUGCCUGCCCAGUGACCCAACGUUCAACGGCCGCGGUAUCCUAACCGUGCAAAGGUAGCGCAAUCAAUUGUCUCAUAAAUCGAGACUUGUAUGAAUGGCUAAACGAGGCCUUAACUGUCUCUCAUAGGUAAUCAGUGAAAUUGAUCUUCCUGUGCAAAAGCAGGAAUAAACACAUAAGACGAGAAGACCCUGUGGAACUUAAAAAUCAGCGACCACUACCCACCACACCCCAAGCCUACCAGGCCCACCGAACCCCCGAAAACUGGUCCGCAUUUUUCGGUUGGGGCGACCUUGGAGAAAAACAAACCCUCCACAAACCAAGACCACACCUCUUAACCAAGAGCAACCCCUCAACGUACUAAUAGUAACCUAGACCCAGUACAACUGACCAAUGAACCAAGCUACCCCAGGGAUAACAGCGCAAUCCCCUUCAAGAGCCCGUAUCGACAAGGGGGUUUCGACCUCGAUGUUGGAUCAGGACAUCCUAAUGGUGCAGCCGCUAUUAAGGGUUCGUUUGUUCAACGAUUAACAGUCCUACGUGAUCUGAGUUCAGACCGGAGUAAUCCAGGUCGGUUUCUAUCUAUGACUAAACCUUCCCCAGUACGAAAGGACCGGGAAAGUGAGGCCAAUACCCCAAGCACGCCUCCCCUCUCAAGUAAUGAGCCCAACUAAAUUACCAAGAGGGCCCCUCCUCACAAUCCCAGAUAAGGACCG
rnacentral:rRNA from 1 species